UAUUUCGUGCCGUUCUUAUGGAAGUUACAGUGACAGAAAAUACACAGUCAUCUCAUCUUCAACAUCAUCAAGAGCUAGCAUGACAUCUUUCGUCCCCAAGCUAAUUUCAAACACCGACCAACAAUACAGUUCCAUAACGUCGACGGAGAAUACUAUCAAAAUGAUCACAAAUCACGGCGUUCACAUCAACAAACAAGUAUUGAGAAAAUUAUAGAGAAGUUAUAUCCAUACUUAUAUGGUGAAGCUCAAAAAACAACAUUAUCAGAAUCUUUGUCUGUAUCAGUUAAAUUAAACUAUGAAUUAUUAGUUUCACCUGAGAUGUUUUUGAAAGAGAACAAUAAACUUAUGAAGAAAGAUUUGAAGUACAGAAUAGUCGCAUCUACUAAAAUUUUCUUCUGGGGCGAUGAUGUUGAUGAUGAUGGCAAUAACAAUGAUCAGAAAAUGUGUGUAAUAUGUUUAAAUGACAUCAAAGAG
rnacentral:lncRNA from 1 species